rfam:Smithella sp. SCADC Smithella_SCADC_Contig_12, whole genome shotgun sequence.
GAAAUCGUGAGAGAUCGUCCGAAGGAAGCCGGAGUGCAAAACUAUGAGCCAACGAACAGAAACAGCAUACAAGGCUGAGUUUCCGGGCAAGUCA